ACGGGUACUUGUACUUGGUGGCGAGCGGCGGACGGGUGAGUAAUGACUAGGAAUCUGCCUAGUAGUGGGGGAUAACGUGCGGAAACGGGCGCUAAUACCGCAUACGUCAUACGGGAGAAAGUGGGGGAUCUUCGGACCUCACGCUAUUAGGUGAGCCUAGGUCGGAUUAGCUAGUUGGUGAGGUAAUGGCUAACCAAGGCGACGAUCCGUAACUGGUCUGAGAGGAUGAUCAGUCACACUGGAACUGAGACACUGUCCAGACUCCUACGGGAGGCAGCAGUGGGGAAUA
rnacentral:rRNA from 1 species